UGGCGAUCGAUAGAAAUGGGCUAUGUUUUUAGCUUUUUAUAUGUUUYUGUUUUGAAGAUUAUGCCGGGGAAGGUUUUCCGGUUUAUCCCGGAGGGCUUGUAGCUCAGUUGGUUAGAGCGCGCGCUUGAUAAGCGUGAGGUCGGAGGUUCAAGUCCUCCCAGGCCCACCAAUUUAAUUAAAAGCUGAUGAAGCGCUUAUUGUCAGACGCAAAUGAUAUAUGCGGUUUAUCAAUGACGCUGAAGCGAUUUUAACUCAGAUUUAAAGAUCUUAACUCAUAUUUAAAUUUGUAAUUUUAUCAAUUUAUGCGUUUUGUUUUUUAUCCUUAUUUAGGGGCCGUAGCUCAGCUGGGAGAGCACCUGCUUUGCAAGCAGGGGGCCUUCG
rnacentral:misc_RNA from 1 species